ensembl:snRNA U6 U6 spliceosomal RNA
GUUUUAUGGCCAGCACAUAUACUAAAAUUGGAACGAUACAGAGAAGAUUAGCAUGGCCCCUGCAUAAGGAUGACAGGCAAAUUCAUGAAGCAUUCCAUAUUUUU